GAUGAAGAACGUAGCGAAAUGCGAUAAGUAAUGUGAAUUGCAGAAUUCAGUGAAUCAUCGAAUCUUUGAACGCACAUUGCGCCCGCCAGUAUUCUGGCGGGCAUGCCUGUUCGAGCGUCAUUUCAACCAUCAAGCCCCCGGCUUGUGUUGGGGACCUGCGGCUGCCGCAGGCCCUGAAAACCAGUGGCGGGCUCGCUAGUCACUCCGAGCGUAGUAAUACAUCUCGCUCAGGGCGUGCUGCGGGUUCCGGCCGUUAAAAAGCCUUAUUUACCCAAGGUUGACCUCGGAUCAGGUAGGAAGACCCGCUGAACUUAAGCAUAUCAAUAGCGGAGA
rnacentral:misc_RNA from 1 species